CUGUUCACCUGCUCAGAGCACAUGCUCACAAUGUUUGAGCUUCAGUCAGUCACCUUGUUGACAUGCUGCUAAGAAGAAGGAAGACAGCUCCUGUGUGGACUCAGAAGACACAAGUGUGGGACUGAUCGGCAGGUGAACUCCUCACACGCUCCCUCGCGGCGUCCGACAGCAAAGAUAAGAAUGAAGUUGUGCGGCGGUGAAUGAUGCAGUGCGUCAGGAGUUCACAAGCCUGUCUUCGCCGCAGCACACAACUGUCUGGGAUUCAUUCGCUCACAGGCGCCACUGCAUCAAAAAGCCAAAUCCGUGUGUAAAGGAUAUCACCACAUGGGCUCAGGACCACUUCAGAAAACCCCCGUCAGUAACUACAGUGGGUCGCUACAUCUGUAAGUGCAAGUUAAAACUAAAUUUUGC